AUGGCGCGCCACCACAACCACCAGCAGCGGGGAGCGGCGGCGGCGGCGGCGGCAUUGCCGGUGAUCAACAUUGGCCGGCUCGGCGACAAGGACCCCGCCGCGCGGGCGCUCGUCGUCCAGGACAUCGCCCGGGCGUGCCGCGACCGCGGGUGCUUCCAGGUGGUAAACCACGGCGUCAGCAAGUCCGCCAUGGACGGCGCCCUGGAGGCCGCCUCCGAGUUCUUCGACUUGCCCGCGGAGCACAAGGCGGCGUUCGCCUGCGACGACAUCCGCAGCCCGGUCCGGUACGACACCAGCUCCCGGGACGGGAUCAGCAAGGCCCGGUCCUUCCUCAAGCACUACGCCAAUCCCCUCCACCACUGGGUCGACGACUGGCCAACACAACCGGCAACAUACAGGAAGAAGAUGGGGACGUACGCCGUGGAGAUGCAGAGGCUGUCGGUGCAGCUCAUUGGGGCCAUCGUGCAGGGGCUGGGGCUAGACCCAAUGUACCUGCAGGAGAAGCUCGGGGCAGGGCUGCAGUUCAUCGCCCUGAACAACUACCCGCAGGGGUCGUCGCGGGCGGGUGACACGGUCGGGCUGGCGCCGCACUCGGACAUCGGCUUCAUCACCAUCCUGCUGCAGAGCUCGCCGGGGCUCGAGGUGACGCACCACGACGACGGCGGCGUCUGGACGCCCGUCCCGGCCAUCCCGGGGGCGCUCCACGUCCACCUCGGCGACCACCUGGAGGUGCUGAGCAACGGCCGCCUCCGGUCCCUCCUGCACCGGGCCAUCCUCAACACCGAUGAAGCGAGGAUCUCCAUCGCCAGCAUCCACGGCGCGGCGAUGGACGAGAAGGUCGGGUGCGCCGACGAGCUCGUCGACGAGCAACACCCGAGGAUGUACAGGGAGAGCAGCUUCCAUGACUUCCUCGACUUCCUGCCCACCAACGUCAAGGCGUACCGGAGGUUCGUUGACACCCUCAAGAUCGACAGUGCUUAA
rnacentral:rRNA from 1 species